GGUGUGUAAGACUCAGCUUCGUCAAACAACAACGCGCAUUGAAACUCCAGCGGGCUAAGGCGCUACGGAGAGCGGAUAGAGUCAAAAGAUUUUGAGCGCGAAUCUCUUUCCUGCCACCUACAGAUCCUUAGGAGGUGUACCUAAAGCAAUUGCAAAUGUAUUCAAGAAAUCGAAAUCUAUUUCUGAAAUGCAUCUCCUCCGCAGAGAGAUUUGGAAGAUGUUAAUGGGAGCGUGGCAAGAGUCUCCUGCAGGACAGUGUCUGAUAAUGUGCUGGGCACUGAACUAAGUGCUGAGGAGACAGUGGUGAACAAGCCAGACACAUUCUCACGCCUUACGGGACUCAUGACUUACCAGAAGAAACAGGCAUUAAAUAAUCAUUACAGAAUGGACCCUUUCAUUGCAUAUAGGGGAAAUGGCAUAAGGGAGAAAGAAGCACAGGACAUUGUGAGCUUGGGUAACAGGGGAGACUGAAGGCAAUCUGGAAUAUCAUGAGGAAAUGAGUUAACUCACCCAGGACAAGAGGACAUCCCACGCAGAGAAAACCCAGUGACAAUAAAGUCAAAUGAAACAAGGAAUGAAAAACAUGAGGAGUUUGUACUCUACAUAGCAUCAAGAAGACUUUUCAGCCUUGGAUCAGCAGUGGCCUAUCAGUCAUCCUUCCUCUGAGUUUGAUUUUUU